GAGUUUGAUCAUGGCUCAGGACGAACGCUGGCGGCGUGCCUAAUACAUGCAAGUCGAACGCAAUCUUUUAACAAUGAGUGCUUGCACUCAGCGUUUUAAGUGCGAGUGGCGAACGGGUGAGUAACACGUGGGCAAUCUGCCCAAAAGUGGGGGAUAACACUUGGAAACAGGUGCUAAUACCGCAUCAACCGGCUGACCGCAUGGUCGGCCGGGCAAAGACGGCGUCAGCUGUCGCUUUUGGAUGAGCCCGCGGCGUAUUAACUAGUUGGUAAGGUAACGGCUUACCAAGGUGAUGAUACGUAGCCGAACUGAGAGGUUGAUCGGCCACAUUGGGACUGAGACACGGCCCAAACUCCUACGGGAGGCAGCAGUAGGGAAUCUUCCACAAUGGACGCAAGUCUGAUGGAGCAACGCCGCGUGUAUGAAGAAGGUCUUCGGAUCGUAAAAUACUGUUGUCAGAGAAGAACACGUGAUAGAGUAACUGCUAUGGCGCUGACGGUAUCUGACCAGCAAGUCACGGCUAACUACGUGCCAGCAGCCGCGGUAAUACGUAGGUGGCAAGCGUUGUCCGGAUUUAUUGGGCGUAAAGGGAACGCAGGCGGUCUUUUAAGUCUGAUGUGAAAGCCUUCGGCUUAACCGGAGAAGUGCAUUGGAAACUGGAAGACUUGAGUGCAGAAGAGGAGAGUGGAACUCCAUGUGUAGCGGUGAAAUGCGUAGAUAUAUGGAAGAACACCAGUGGCGAAAGCGGCUCUCUGGUCUGUAACUGACGCUGAGGUUCGAAAGACAGGAUUAGAUAC
rnacentral:rRNA from 1 species